rnacentral:misc_RNA from 1 species
CUUUACUGAAAACCCUGUCGGCUCUCUGCACGUUAUUAAUAAUUUCUCAAUGCUCGUUUCGCCUUCAAACCCUCCACCAAUUAAGGAAGAUCUCUAGAUUUCAAACUUCUUUAACAAAAUCCUUGAAAGCCCAUUUAUCUCCUAAGCACAUCUCCCUCAAUCUCACUAACCUUUCCAAUCUCAUCAAACUCACUAUGUUUCCCAAAAAACCAAUUUCAAGAUUCAUCUUUUUCUCCUUGACUCUCCUCCUAUUACUCACUUCCAAAAUCUCUGUCACUGCC